GGACGGCGCCGGGAGGAGCCGCGGGGCCCCGGUGGCGGUCCCUGUGCCGGUGGCGGUCCCGGUGCCGGUCCGGGCGCUGCCUCCCCCCGUUGCCGCUCGGGGCGCGGCUGUUGGGGCGGGAGCGGGGCGGCCAGCCCGGGGCCCGGCCCUCGGUGCUUUCAGGGGAAAAGACUGGCGUUUGGUGUACAGGUUAUUUAACGGUUCUGUUCGGACACGAGUGUUCCUUCCCCUCCUCCUCCUCGGCUCCGUGCGGGGCCCCAGCAUGAGAUGUUUCUGUAAAGCGACCCGCGAUUGCAGCGUGAAAACAAUAAAUACGUUAACACUGGGGCCGCGCUGGGGACGUCCCGCCGAGUCGCCGUCGUUUGAUCUCCCCGGGGCUCCCCGCUGGGGCGCGGGGGGACCGGGCCGUGCCGUGCCGUGCCCCUGGCGGAGCGCAGCGCCCCGUGACAGGGGAGGCGCCCGGCAGCCGCUCCAGGGAAACACCUCCGGGAGCUCCCGCGGCCAGCCCGAGCUCUAUUUUUUUUUUUUCCCUACACGUGGAGCCGUGAGCGUAAAGGGAGAGCACGUGGAGUCGCCGCUGGGAGUCACUGUGCGGGCCCGUGCUGCGGGCCGGGCUCUGGCUGUGAGCAGAGGUACAUCAGAAGAUAAAGUAAAAAGAAAGAUGCAUCUUUCUUAAGUUUUUUGGAAUGCCAAAAGUGAUCAGUCCAGAUGGUAUUUUCUUAGGAACUAUCUGUGAUAACAGAUAAAAAGAACAGAUAAGUAAAGAGUUUCUAAUUUCCAAGUUCUUUCUUAAAACAGGGGCAAGUGUGUUUGCUAUUAACAUAUGAGAGCAUAAGUGACAUAUUUAGUGUCUAAUAUUUUUGUUUUGAAUUUUUGGUUUGUGUUUUUAAGAAAUAUUAAGAAUAUUAAUAUAUUGUCUUUUGUGUGGCCAGACAGACCCUGAUGAAAGCUAAUAAUGGCAUUGUAGCAUAAACCUGUCCCCGGGUUUUACCGUGUAAAUUGUGUAGUUGACAUGUCCACUUUCUGAAAAAUUGCACUGACAGGAGUACCCUACUUGAGAUAUCUAUCAUGAGAGCAGUGUGUGUGCCCUCUCUCCCAAAUGAAAAAUGGAAUAUUUUCAACACCUGUUUCCGAUGCUUCUUUUCUCUGUUAAAUGUAUAAAUAUAAACAAUAUAUUUCAGACUUUACCAUUAUUUUGAUCUAUAUUUUCUUGUUAAACUAUGCAGCUGUGUAUUACAUGCAUAUUUUAAACAUUAUCUAA